AAAAUUUUUUUUUUUUAAAGGAGAGUAACAAAAAGCUGCCAGUGCAGUGGUUCUUGGUCUUUCUGGGAACACGAUGGAAGCCUGAUGGAAGGUCUGGGCCCUCUCUCCAGGAAUGCGCGUUCACACUGAGCUGGACAUUCCCGUUUGAUGUCCUGGACAUUGUUGACAGCCGUGGUGGGGCGCUCCAUUAAAGCAGCCAGCCGGGGAUCCAGCAGUGCCCUUCUGUCCUCCAGCACCUUCUCCGGUCCCAGGAUACCAGUGCUCCCGCGGAGCUGUGGCUUCAUCCGAGGGUGAUCCUGCAAGGGAGGAAACGUGUCCUCGCCACGGGACAGGUGGAGGAAGCCGAGGCCUGGCGGUUGAGAGGUUUCACCAAGAUCACGUGUGCACAUGGUUCUGCAUUCAGCGUGCAUGUGACAAGGCACGGGCUGUGGCGUCAGGUGGGGAACAGGCUCUCUGGCACUGACCACACCUCUGCUGCUUUCUGAGGACCGUCAGGUGGAUGGUGCUCCCCCAGCAGGUACACAGCCUGGCUCUGUCUCCAAGUGAGGAGGAAGCCUCAAGGAAAGGAACUUCCCUGGCUCCCCAAAGCGGUGAGCAGAGCUUCGGCAGGAACUGAUGCUACCCGAGAAGAAAGGCUGCUGGCGUGUCUGGUGGGC